GAUGAACGCUAGCGGGAGGCCUAACACAUGCAAGCCGAGCGGUAGAGUCUCUUCGGAGCCUUGAGAGCGGCGCACGGGUGCGGAACACGUGUGCAACCUGCCUUUAUCUGGGGGAUAGCCUUUCGAAAGGAAGAUUAAUACCCCAUAAUAUACUGGAUGGCAUCAUCUGGUAUUGAAAACUCCGGUGGAUAGAGAUGGGCACGCGCAAGAUUAGAUAGUUGGUGAGGUAACGGCUCACCAAGUCAGCGAUCUUUAGGGGGCCUGAGAGGGUGAUCCCCCACACUGGUGCUGAGACACGGACCAGACUCCUACGGGAGGCAGCAGUGAGGAAUAUUGGACAAUGGGUGAGAGCCUGAUCCAGCCAUCCCGCGUGAAGGACGACGGCCCUAUGGGUUGUAAACUUCUUUUGUAUAGGGAUAAACCUAGAUACGUGUAUCUAGCUGAAGGUACUAUACGAAUAAGCACCGGCUAACUCCGUG
rnacentral:rRNA from 1 species